rnacentral:rRNA from 1 species
UACGGAGGGGGCUAGCGUUAUUCGGAAUUAUUGGGCGUAAAGGGCGUGUAGGCGGCUUCGUAAGUCUUGUGUGAAAGCCCUCGGCUCAACCGAGGAAUUGCACGAGAAACUGCGUGGCUCGAGUCCGGGAGAGGAUAGUGGAAUUCCCAGUGUAGCGGUGAAAUGCGUAGAUAUUGGGAGGAACACCGGUGGCGAAGGCGGCUAUCUGGACCGGUACUGACGCUGAUACGCGAAAGCCAGGGGAGCAAGCGGG